rnacentral:rRNA from 1 species
CCUACGGGAGGCAGCAGUGAGGAAUAUUGGUCAAUGGACGAGAGUCUGAACCAGCCAAGUAGCGUGAAGGAUGACUGCCCUAUGGGUUGUAAACUUCUUUUAUAUGGGAAUAAAAUGUUCCACGUGUGGGAUUUUGUAUGUACCAUAUGAAUAAGGAUCGGCUAACUCCGUGCCAGCAGCCGCGGUAAUACGGAGGAUCCGAGCGUUAUCCGGAUUUAUUGGGUUUAAAGGGAGCGUAGGUGGAUUGUUAAGUCAGUUGUGAAAGUUUGCGGCUCAACCGUAAAAUUGCAGUUGAAACUGGCAGUCUUGAGUACAGUAGAGGUGGGCGGAAUUCGUGGUGUAGCGGUGAAAUGCUUAGAGAUCACGAAGAACUCCGAUUGCGAAGGCAGUUCACUGAACUGCAACUGACACUGAGGCUCGAAAGUGUGGGUAUCAAACAGGAUUAGAUACCCGAGUAGUC